UUGCCAUGGUGAGGGAAUUUUCUUAACAGUUCUUUGAACCUCUCCAAUGCAUCAGUAACAAAUUCAUCGUCCAAUUGUUUAAAAAGACAGAUUUCAAUUCAGGACUU